CCAAAGUUCAAUUUCCAAACCUGGGCUGAAUGACUCCAGGAUAUAUUUUUUUUUCUUGUCACAGAUUCCCUGCAGAGCCAGUCCAUGUCUACUCAGGGAUAACACCAGCCUUUUCCAAGUGUCUUGGGUGCAGGGAGAGAGAGGACUGAGAGAGAAAGCCUAUAGUGCUACUGAUUUAACGCCUGAAAUUCAACUUCCAGGAGGAAGGAGUAAAGGAGGGACAGAGAGAAGGGAUUCACUGCUGGUGUGAUCAGGUGAGGAGAGAACUGGGAAGAUUCAAUUCAGAGAGAUCAUCCAAGAAAUGAAAACUCCCAAAUUUUUAAGCUGGGGGUUAGGAUAAAUUCAUUUCUUACGCACACUCUCCCUAUCAUAUUGUUAUUUUUUAGUGACUCUUUCCACUUGGUUUAGUGCUAAUUAUUUACCAGUUACUGUAUAAGAAAAAAAUCUAUACUAAAUUGCUAUUAAAGGGCCAUUGGAUUGGAGUAAAUGAAACUUCAGAGUUAUGUUUUAUUGCAUGUCAGCUAUGUAGAAGCUAAUUUUAAACAAGAAUGUUUAAAAUGUACUCCUUAGAACAAUUAAAUCUUUCCCUUCUCAUUUACAGAGCACUACAUAUCCUUGUUAUUGAGAAUGUAUAGAGGCAGCAUGGUAUAGAGACUGGAGCAGGAGACCAAAGGCCCUGAGUGUACUAACCCCACCAUCGAUCUAAUCUAUGUCACUUCAGCUAUGUAAAUAGCGUAGCUAAAGGAGAUGUACUUAUGUGGCAUCUUGUGUGCGCUAAGUUCUACGAAAGCUGCUUUCCUCUCGACACCAGCUACUCUUCUCCUCCCAGCAGAGUACUGGUGUCAACGGGAGAGUGCUCAGAGAUCGAUUUAUUGCAUCUAAGCAGACAAAAUAAAUUAAUGACCGGUUGGUUGAUCACUGCAGCAUCGAUCCCUGAUGUAGUGGAGACAAGUUCAGGGUCAGGAACUCCUGUCUGCUUCUAAUUGCUUUCUCUUGUCUGGAACAAGACACUUUACCUGAAUUUCCCCAUCUGCAACAUGAGAACCUUAUCUAUAAUUAUAUGGAUAUGGAAAGGGUGAAUCAGUGUCUGUGGAGUGCUUUGAAGAUAAGCACUAUGGAGAAUAAAUACAUUACUUUUACACUGCAAGUAUUUCCUCCAUCCCUCCCCAUUCCCAUAUAUAUCUGAGAUGAGGACAGGGCAGAGGGGCAGGUGAAAACAAGUUUUUACUCACUCACUUAAAGGACACUAUCCAACCAUCUGCUUUACAUUGGACAUCAUUACCUAUUAUCAUGGCAAGAGAUGAUUCUUGAGUACUUAAAUGGUUGAUGGCUAUUGGUAAUGAUGCAUGAAGCAGAAACAAAGCCAGAGUUUCAAAGAAUCGUGGAGACUUGAAAAGGCUGAGGAGAACUAGUAAUAUGUUUUUGACUAAAUACAGACAUAUGUGGCAAGACAUUGCCAUUUCUAUCCAAUGAGUUCUCCUUUUGGGUCACCUUUUAAUUUUUUGCAGUUGUACAAAUGAGCUCUUUUAGCCCCACUGUUAGAGUUUAAAGGAAACAGCAAUCAGAACAAUAUCUUGAUACUCUUGACAGAUUAAAGCACUUACAAGAAUAAGCUUCAAAGUCUCACCAAGUACCAGAGUUUCAAUGUAAAGUCCGAAAAAAUGGACUUUAAAGAAAACAAACCCAAAAAUGUAUUCUGGUUUAGCUAAGAGUAAAUUAAUUUUCAAGGCACGCCUGUUACUAUUACAGAGCAUAAAUAUAUACAAGGCAAAUGUCCAAAGGUUAGUUUUGGCUGAGACUGCUUGUAACAAUCGUGAAAUAAUCAUAUUAGGAAGUGGUCACAUCCUGGGAUUGAGUCAGGCAACCUGGGCAUCUAGUCUGAUGCUAGCACUCUGCCACUAAUUUGUUCUGAGACCACAGACAAACCAUUUAUUUUCUCUGAGCCUCAGAUUUUUCACCUGAAAAAUGAUGACAAUGAAGCUUACUCAUUUUUCUAGCACACUUGGAGAUCUCGGGAUGAAAAGCAUUAUAUAAGCACAUAUUUACUGUUAUUGAACAUUAUUUGUAUUCUAGUAGUGAUGUCACAAAAUCCUACUCCAUUGCCUCAUCGUGGCAUGGAAGUGACUCUUGGCUCUUGAAGACUAUGGUAGCAGAGUGUAAGCUCUGGCAGGCUUUACCAAGCUGGAAAGAUUUCAAAUAUGGCCCUGGCAGUGGACUUUUUGUCCACCGUCCAAGUACCAGCCUAGCAAAGUGUGACGUGGUUCGUCAUCAGAAAGAUGGCCAGCAGGUGACUAUUUGGCCACAGCAAUGACAACCACUACAAUAAUAUAGCAUUACCUCCAGUCCUGUGUAGUUCCUUCUCACUUUCACAGUAAUGGUGAUGAUGGUGGAGUGGAGAAUAAGGGGGCAGAGGAUGCCAAGAAUCUCUCAGUAUUGAGACCAUCAAUUUGUAUUAAUUUAUAUGUUGGCACACUUCAUAUGCGAUCCCCCUCAAGCUCUGAGCAGGUCAGUACAUUGCUGUAAGAAUUGCAUUGUAUUCACAUUGACAUUCUUCCAUAAUUGAAACCAGAAGAAUAUAGUAAGUCGUGGCAAAUGGAAGGAUUUGCCCUGUGGGACUGUGCCCUGCUUCCACAUGCAUGCUUCUGCUCCUCUGCCUCCUGUCCUGCCCCUGC